rnacentral:rRNA from 1 species
AGUCAUAUGCUUGUCUCAAAGACUAAGCCAUGCAUGUCUAAGUAUAAGUGUUAUACAGCGAAACUGCGAAUGGCUCAUUAAAACAGUUAUAGUUUAUUUGGUAAUCGAAAUUACAUGGAUAACCGUGGUAUCUUCUAGAGCUAAUACAUGCAGGUUAGCCCGACUUCUCGGAAGGGCUGUAUUUAUUAGAUAACAGACCAAUAUUCCUCGUGUCUAUUGUGGUGACUCAUAGUAACUGAUCGGAUCGCAUGGCCUUGUGCCGCGACAAACCAUUCAAGUUUCUGACCCAUCAGCUUUCGAUGGUAGUGUAUUGGACUACCAUGGCUUUCACGGGUAACGGAGGAUUAGGGUUCGAUUCCGGAGAGGGAGCCUGAGAAACGGCUACCACAUCUAAGGAAGGCAGCAGGCGCGUAAAUUACCCAAUCCUGACUCAGGGAGGUAGUGACAAGAAAUAACGGGUCGGGGCAUUCGCCUCGGGAUUGCAAUGAAUCGAAUUUACACCCCUUAAUGAGGAUCAAU